rnacentral:rRNA from 1 species
AUUGAACGCUGGCGGCAGGCCUAACACAUGCAAGUCGAGCGGAUGAGUGGAGCUUGCUCCAUGAUUCAGCGGCGGACGGGUGAGUAAUGCCUAGGAAUCUGCCUGGUAGUGGGGGACAACGUUUCGAAAGGAACGCUAAUACCGCAUACGUCCUACGGGAGAAAGCAGGGGACCUGCGGGCCUUGCGCUAUCAGAUGAGCCUAGGUCGGAUUAGCUAGUAGGUGAGGUAAUGGCUCACCUAGGCGACGAUCCGUAACUGGUCUGAGAGGAUGAUCAGUCACACUGGAACUGAGACACGGUCCGGACUCCUACGGGAGGCAGCAGUGGGGAAUAUUGGACAAUGGGCGAAAGCCUGAUCCAGCCACGCCGCGUGUGUGAAGAAGGUCUUCGGAUUGUAAAGCACUUUAAGUUGGGAGGAAGGGCAGUAAGUUAAUACCUUGCUGUUUUGACGUUACCAACAGAAUAAGCACCGGCUAACUUCGUGCCAGCAGCCGCAGUAAUAC